UAUAAAAUCUACUUAUUUUAUUCGUGUGAAAGCUCCGAUCAGUUGGACGGAUUCGUGGUGUUAUUCUGUGGGGACAAAAGUGGUUGUCCAGAGUUGUUUUUGGAUAGGCAGAGAAAUGGACCAGAGAGGCUAAACUAGAACUACAAGACUGUGUUGAACACACGGAUUGGUCUGUUUUUAAAACUGCAGCUGCAAACCUGGACGAACUGACGGACACUAACAUCUUACAUCAGUUUCUGUGAAGAGUAACUGCUUUAUCCUGGUCAUGGCCGUGGAGGAUCCAGAACUGUUCCUGGGGAAACUGGACGUAUGGCAGGAGUGCACUAUGGAUGUGAUGCUAGUCAAUCCCAGGGCACAUCCCAGAUUUUAUUUUAUUUCGUUUUAAAAAAUAUAUAUUUUUCUUAAGCUAUAAA